AACCUCCGCAAUGUGAGAAAUCGCGACGGGGGGAUCCCAAGUGCCAUUCUUAACGGGAUGGCUUUUCAUUAGUGUAAAGAGCUUUUGGAAUAAGGGCUGGGCAAGACCGGUGCCAGCCGCCGCGGUAACACCGGCAGCUCUAGUGGUAGCAGUUUUUAUUGGGCCUAAAGCGUCCGUAGCCGGUUUAAUAAGUCUCUGGUGAAAUCCUGUAGCUUAACUGUGGGAAUUGCUGGAGAUACUAUUAGACUUGAGACCGGGAGAGGUUAGAGGUACUCCCAGGGUAGAGGUGAAAUUCUGUAAUCCUGGAAGGACCGCCUGUUGCGAAGGCGUCUAACUGGAACGGUUCUGACGGUGAGGGACGAAAGUUAGGGGCGCGAACCGGAUUAGAUACCCGGGUAGUCCUAACCGUAAACGAUGCGGACUUGGUGUUGGGGUGGCUUUGAGCUGCUCCAGUGCCGAAGGGAAGCUGUUAAGUCCGCCGCCUGGGAAGUACGGUCGCAAGACUGAAACUUAAAGGAAUU
rnacentral:rRNA from 1 species